ensembl:lncRNA
AGAUUCACAAAAAAACGUCUGUAUAGUGGAGAAUAAAAACGACAACUGUAUUUUCCCUGGUCUUCUUUUGUGAUGUUUUUUAAUAGAACAGAACAAUUACUGCUGUCCUUAUGAAAAAAUGUUUCAUAUCGGUGGGACAGGUUGUCUUUAAAAUCUAAGGUCCCAUCAUUAUAUCUGAAGAUCAAUUUUGUCUCCACCCCUCUCUCCUCAUCUUCUUCCACUUGCCACUUGAAGUCCUUAUUCAAAUCUCUAUUAGGGCAGUCACAUGGCAGGAGCACAUCGUCUUUCUCAAAGCCUUUGACAGUGACAGGAAUGCCUUCACCUGCAACAGAAAAGAUGACCAAUCAUAAGUCCAGUUAUGAGAAUCACAAUGUCAGUUUUCCUGCUGCAUUAAAUUAUCAAAAGUAAACUUGACAAAAUAGGAAAAAACAGAACUUGCUGCUUCUCAAAAGUUCAAUAAUCACAGAGAAACUGAGGAACAACUUGUGGGCUUUACAGCUCUGCUGUUAGAGUCAAUUUCAGAUGAAAGUAUUUCUCGUGAGGAUAUGUAGGAUUUGCUUUAUCUUCUAAAAGACCUGGCAUAAUCAUAAAAAUACAAUUCAGUGAUUUGGGUUCAUCAAUAGUACAAAAAGAGCAGAAAGUCAAGUGCCUAUAGCUUAAUAAAGUGUUAUAUUUAUGUAGGCUAUAGUGAGUAUAACGAACUAAAUAACUAACUACUAGUUAAAACUAGUUGUUUUCAUGUAGUUCUUGUGUAAUGUUUAGCUGAGUACAUUCCUCCCUGUGAAAUAUUAACAAUCAUCAUAUUUAACAACUGUACAUUUAAAACAAUCCACCCGGGAACGCCACAUUUUUAUUUACCAUCCACACAAUCACUCAUGUUUGCUUUUGUUGCUCUUGUUUCACUUUCUGAUAAAUCUCCAGUACAUCUGCACAGUUCUUUGUGUGUUUCAUGUUUUCCAUCUGUUGUUCUUUUGCACUUCAAGUGAUAACUGCCUAAAUAUUUCUAUAUUCAAAUUAUAAUCCCUUCUAUUGUGCCAAUUGCUACAUGGAAUUUAGCAACAUGUUCUAGGCAUGAAACUAUACAUGAUUGCACAACCACUCCUUGUUAGAGAUUUGAGCCUCAAUUUGUUUGCAUUUCUUCAGAUUGAAUAAAGAAAAGACAUCGAAAGAAAAGAGCUGAAAGAGCUGAUGAUAACCAGACGAUGUAAACAGACAGCUCUGACCUGACAGUUCAGGUCAUCUCCAAUAAACUAAAAUAAUUAAAACAGUCAAGGCAAAGGUCUUCUGUGACUUUUUACUGGAUUUUACAAAGUAGGCGUGUUUGUUUCUGUAUCUAUAAAUAAUCAAAUUCUUUUAAUCAAAGUAUUUCUCGAUUCUGAUGAGAAAGGUUUCAGAUUUUUUGGGGAGAAUGUAUAUAUGUGCAUUCAAAUUGCAUCUCUGAGGAUUCGCAUUAGGUUUAGUCAUUACUAAAUACUAAAAAUGUAUGAGUUUUAUAUAUAUAACUACAUGUAAUUGUACCACAUUUAGCACAUAAUUUGAUUUUUAUUAUUGAUUGUUUAAUCUUACGUACAAACUGAAUUAAAACAAAUACUAAAAUGAAAGAACUAAAAACAAAUGAUUGCCUUCCUAUACAGGUUAGACCUGAACUUGACCUUGUUGUUUUAACAGUGGUUUACGGUUGAAGAAGAACACAUUUCCAAUCACGUGACAUUAGUGAAAAAACUUUCUAUGAACAUUCACUGCUAAAAAGGAAAACAAAGUGUAACUUUUAUGAGUGUUAAAAGAUGUGAACCUUAAGUAAUCUAAUAGACUUUACCACAGCAGCCCAGUAGUUACUCCCACUUUAGCUCAUAGCUAAAAGUAUGAUUUAAAAAAACCAAAAAAUGAUUGCAAUGUCUUUGAUAAAGGAAGAGCUAAAGCUUUCAUAAGUCUUAAAACUUAAGUUUCACAGAUUAAGGCAUGAACUAGAAAUAUUUUAGUCUUUUAGUUCAGAGUUAGUUUUAAUCCACGUCUGGGAAUCUGGGUGAAUGAGUCAAGGUUGAACUGACUUGAUACGUCUUUUAGGAUGUCACGCACUACAGAUUUUAUUGCUUUGCA